AGGCUGUCUGGAUUAAGAGCCAGACAAGAGGCUGCCUGAGAGGCUGUAUGAGAGGCUGGCUGCCUCAGAGGUUGACUGGUUGAAAGGCUGGCUUAGAGGCAGGCUGAGAGGAUGGCUGGAUUAGAGGCUUGCUGAGAUGCUGACUGGUACUAUCAAAAUGUAAGAACAGAAAUGGACAUAAACUGACUAGAAGUACUGAGAAAAGAUGGAGUUUCAUUCUUGUCGCCCAGACUGGCGUGCAGUGGUGUGAUCUUGGCUCACU
rnacentral:lncRNA from 1 species